UACAAAUUAAUAUUCAAAUGGCAUAUUGGAUGUUGAUUGCGUAGCUAAGAAUUUCAUAAGCUUGAGUAUUAAACUGUGGAAUUUACUGACGGUGACUCCUAUUUUUAGUUUGGUUCUCUUUUGUCCUUCAUUUGCAACCUAAUCUUUCUGUAGUCCAUGAGUCACUAGCCCUCGUCUGAGUCGUUCACAAACCAAUGAGCUAAAGAGGGCGCCCUCUUUCUGACUUUUGUAAGUCUUCGAGAGAUCUGUACAUAUAUUUGAUUAUAAAACUAGGAGUUGAAACCUCAAAAUCCAGGUAAACUGUUGAAAAUUUGUACCUAAGCACAUGUUAUAAUGGUUUUAUUAAUAGUCUAUCCAAACCUAACUAAAAUUGUUUAUCUACAAAACAAAUAGAUUAAGACAAGUUGGCUUAACAUUAGAGUAAAAUCUUUAAAUCCUGCAGUUUCCUGCUUCUUUGAAGUGUUUUGUGUUCAUAAUAAAGGUUAACUGACGGUCUGCUACUGCUACGUAUCUCCUUCCCUCCCAUGAUGAGUGGUUUUCAGGCUAAGUUGGCAGCAGCAAUCCUGGUGGUAUUUCUGGUGGUGAAUACUAGUGCAUUACUGCUAAAUGGUUGUGAGAAGAGCUUGUCCUGUCAUGGAAUCAUCUCAAGGAAGACAUUUCCAGGAAAAGAAGGUAGCUUAGGAAGUGAAAAUGUGGGAUUUCUGUGGACAAAGAAAGUGGGCUUUCGGGAAUUGAGAGCCAUCAUCCGACAGUCUCCACCUCCUCCUGCUAUAGGCAGACGAUCGGCAUUUAAUUCACGUGCACCUCCUCCACAAACAUUGUAGUGCUUUCCUAUUCAUGCUGAUUCCAGCAGUGUUCAAUAAUUCAACUCGGUAGUUGCAACAAAGAAAUUAGUGUAAUAACAGGAUGUUUAGCUUAUGGACAUGCUCAUCUUUUGAUCGUA